GAUGAAGAACGUAGCGAAAUGCGAUACUUGGUGUGAAUUGCAGAAUCCCGUGAACCAUCGAGUCUUUGAACGCAAGUUGCGCCCGAAGCCAUUAGGCCGAGGGCACGCCUGCCUGGGUGUCACACACCGUUACCCUCGCGCCAACGUCCAUCGUUGGCCGCGGCGCGGGGCGUGCGCUGACCUCCCGCGAGCGGGGUCUCGUGGUUGGUUGAAAAUCGAGUUCGCGGUCGAGGGUGCCGUGAUGAAAUGGUGGAUGGGCGACGCCCGAGGCCAAUCACGCGCGACUCUGUCCNGCNNNNNCUCCUGGACCCCUUCGGCGUCUCCGGACGCUCUUUGGCGAGACCUCAGGUCAGGCGGGGCUACCCGCUGAGUUUAAGCAUAUCAAUAAGCGGAGGA
rnacentral:misc_RNA from 1 species